GAUGAACGCUGGCGGCGUGCUUAACACAUGCAAGUCGAACGAGAAGUGAAGACGGAAACCUUCGGGCGGAAGGCUUUAUUUCGAGUGGCGGACGGGUGAGUAACGCGUGGGUAACCUGCCUCAUACAGGGGGAUAACAGUUGGAAACGACUGUUAAUACCGCAUAAGACCACAGCACCGCAUGGUGCGGGGGUAAAAACUCCGGUGGUAUGAGAUGGACCCGCGUUCGAUUAGCCAGUUGGCGGGGUAACGGCCCACCACAGCGACGAUCGAUAGCCGAUCUGAGAGGAUGACCGGCCACAGUGGGACUGAGACACGGCCCAAACUCCUACGGGAAGCAGCAGUGGGGAAUAUUGCACAAUGGGGGAAACCCUGAUGCAGCGACGCCGCGUGAGUGAAGAAGUAUUUCGGUAUGUAAAGCUCUAUCAGCAGGGAAGAAAAUGACGGUACCUGAGUAAGAAGCCCCGGCUAACUACGUG
rnacentral:rRNA from 1 species